CAAUAGCGUAUAUUAAAGUUGUUGCAGUUGAAAAGCUCGUAGUUGGACUUCUGGGCUUGUGUUGUGGUCCGCCUCACGGUGAGCACUGCGACAUGGGUCCUUCUUCUUGAAGACUGUGCGUGUCCUUAACUGGGUGUGUACAGGAUUUGAGACCUUUACUUUGAAAAAUUAGAGUGUUCAAAGCAGGCCUUCGCUUGAAUACAUUAGCAUGGAAUAAUGGAAUAGGACUUCUGUUCUAUUUUGUUGGUUUCUAGGACUGAAGUAAUGAUUAAUAGGGAUAGUUGGGGGCGAUUAGUACUUGACUGUCAGAGGUGAAAUUACUCCGAUUUGUUAAAGAACUAACUUAAUGCGAAAGACAUUUGUCCAAGGAAUGUUUUCUAUUAAAUCAAGAACGAAAGUUAAGGGGAUCAAAGAUGAUCAGAUACCAU
rnacentral:rRNA from 1 species